rnacentral:rRNA from 1 species
UAAUACGGAAGGUGCGAGCGUUAAUCGGAAUUACUGGGCGUAAAGCGAGCGUAGGCUGUUAAUUAAGUCGAAUGUGAAAUCCCCGGGCUCAACCUGGGAACUGCAUUCGAAACUAUUUGACUAGAGUAUGGGAGAGGAAAGUAGAAUUUCCGGUGUAGCGGUGAAAUGCGUAGAUAUCGGAAGGAAUACCAGUGGCGGAGGCGGCUUUCUGGAACAAUACUGACGCUGAGGUUCGAAAGCGUGGGGAGCAAACAGGAUUAGAUACCCUGGUAGUCCACGCCGUAAGCGAUGAGAACUAGAUGUUGGAAGGAUUGGCCUUUCAGUGUCGCAGCUAACGCAAUAAGUUCUCCGCCUGGGGAGUACGACCGCAAGGUUG